rnacentral:rRNA from 1 species
CACGCAGGCGGUCUGUUAAGUCAGAUGUGAAAUCCCCGGGCUUAACUUGGGAAUUGCAUUCGAUACUGGUUGGCUAGAGUGUGGGAGAGGAUGGUAGAAUUCCAGGUGUAGCGGUGAAAUGCGUAGAGAUCUGGAGGAAUACCGAUUGCGAAGGCAGCCCCCUGGACAGUGACUGACGCUCAUAUGCGAAAGCGUGGGGAUCAAACAGGAUUAGAUACCCCUGUA